rnacentral:tRNA from 1 species
GCGGUUGUAGCUCAGUUGGAUAGAGCGUCCGCCUCCUAAGCGGCAGGUCGUGCGUUCGAAUCGCACCAAUCGCACCA